rnacentral:rRNA from 1 species
UACGGGGGGGGCAAGCGUUGUUCGGAAUUACUGGGCGUAAAGGGCGAGUAGGCGGCCUUCUAAGUCAGACGUGAAAUCCCCCGGCUUAACCUGGGAACUGCGUCUGAUACUGGGAGGCUCGAGUAUGGGAGAGGGAUGUAGAAUUCCAGGUGUAGCGGUGAAAUGCGUAGAUAUCUGGAGGAAUACCGGUGGCGAAGGCGGCAUCCUGGACCAUUACUGACGCUGAAUCGCGAAAGCUAGGGGAGCAAACGGG